UAACCCAUUCUCAGCAACGGUUUAACCAAAAUAUGAAUAUUCAAUAAGAAGGGACCCUAAACACCCUGAUUGCUCGUGCCUCAACAACAUUUAAUCAAAAAUUCAAAAUACGAAUAUUCUGUAUAAAGAUUCCCAAAUAUCCAUAACAUAUUUUACUAUAAUAGGAUUUUCAUGAUGAUACAUCACAGCCAGUUGAGUAUCAGAGUGAUACUCCACGAGUAGAGUGUAGGAACAAUCGGACCUUGGCCCUGUGUUUUAUGAUACUAAUUAAAAGUUCGAACAGAAUAUUAACCUUAAUCGC
rnacentral:lncRNA from 1 species